rnacentral:lncRNA from 1 species
UAGAGAGUAGUUUUCAUCUUGUUGUUUGUCCUCAUUUCAUUUUCUGGCUUAAUAAUAAUUCAGAAUAAAAGUGCGAUUUCAUAGUCCUGGGUUUUGCCAUUGAAGAUACAAAAAUCCAAGGGAAAGAACAACAGUUUGCAGCUCUUGGUGAAAUACGACUUGACAGCGGCCGCAUUAAAGAUGUAUGCCAUUGUAUUCAACAAAGAUUAAUGAAGCCCGGUAAAAAUAGCUGUAAAAGAGAAAGUGAUCCGAAUGUAAAAUCAGUGAAUUAAAUGAGGCCGCGCAUACCAUUUGUUAAUAUGCAUGAGGAGGGAGGCAGCGAAUGAAAAUGUCUCUAUGCAAAGUUCAUUUGGGAAUGUUUCAAUAUUGUCUGGAUAUCCCGCAACUACUGAACAGCGGCCUAAUGGAGCAGCGUCCACGCAGACUGGGUGCGCCCCGGGCCCAGUGCCCUCCUUGGUAUGGCCGGCUGGGGCCGGGGCAGACGCAGGCAGCGAGGGGACCCACGCGUCUCCUCAUCCUGAUGGUUUUCUCCAGGUCUCUCUCCGGCGCCUCCUCCUCAAGACCCCUUGCCUGCAUCGGCCUCUGUCUGUGUGAAGGAGAAUGAGCUGGGAGCGUUUCCGCUGGGGGUUAGACUCCAAGUUCAGGUGCUGGCGAUACCAAGUCUGUGCUGAGCUUGGAGUCAGGUUGUAGACCAGAGAUGGAACCUUUCUGUGCCUUGAUAUUUUCCCCUCUAAAUGAAGAGAGAGCUUAGCAUUCCACCAUUCAAAGCACUUGGACAUCAUAGAUGAAAGACCUACAUGAGUCCAAAUUAUUCGUAAGGCA